GCAAAUGAGAGACGAAUGUCCGACAUUCUGGGUGUCUCUGACAGGCACAAUUUAAUUUUUUUGCGCCCCGUUGAGGUCUCUGUGUGUGAGGCGUGUGCGUGUAGCCGCUGUUGGGAGCUGAUUAUUGUUUUUUGGUUUUUUUUGCCUAUUUUAUCGGUCGCUUGUACGGAGCUCCUCAGAUACACGUCCGUCUAGCUAAGCAGCUGGCCACG